UCCAAAAAAUCCAAACAUCAAGGCUACCUGAAAAAUCACGUAGACCAAAAACAAAUGAACUUUUUGAGAAUUUACCUGACCAACAUAACAGUCACCGGAACAUCGAUCGAACUUAAAUGCACCGCUAGUUGUGUUUACUGCGCUUCAAUAUACCCCUUACGUGAAAACUACGUACAACCCUGAAUUCAUUAUGACCGCUGAAUAUUAUAUUCACUCCUCCGUUCAUUCUGUGCUGUGCUCGCGUUUCAAGAUGGCGUCUUUUGAAAACAGUCUACGAGAGUUGCUAGCGUAUUUAGACAUUUCGGACCAUUUGCUGGAAAUAUUUGAUGAUAAAUUGAAUAAAAUCAAAGGUAUGUUUCAUAAUAGUUCGAAUUUGAUCCUUUAAACAGAAUGCGGAGGUUAUUUUACCAGUUUGUUGACAAUUUCUGCGGAUCAAACCCGCACAUCAUUGGAGCCGACGCAAAGAACUUGGAAAUAUGCGGUUUUGUUCGGAAUUAUUUCGUUUUGGCGAACAAGAAACGAAUCCGUUUCGGCAUUACCGGCGGGUUACCGAUUGCGGCUGACUGGCAAAGUUUGUUUUGAUCCACAUUCGCUUGCAUGAUGCAAGUUGCAUCUAUCCAGCUCCCACCACACCGAUCUACUUCGCCGCACCAAUCUACUCCUGACAAAAUUGCUGCUCAUGAGCCAUCCACUUCUUCGGCGGUGGUGGAACCAAGAACUGGACAGCCGCAUUCCGAAACUAUUUCACCAGUCUUUGUUGAUAGCAUUUCCAGCUUUUCGAGUAUCGAAGAAAAGCAGAGUGAACGCGAAAAUCGAAUGCAAGAGGCAAGUUGAUUUGUGUUGUAAAUGUUACAAAGGCAUUUAUUUGUUUUGUUUCUUUCCCUACAGGAUUCUGAAACUUAUCUGUUUUUCUUCAAGACCGGAUCCGGAACACACUAUGGAAGCUGCCUCAGUCGCCAUCCAAUUGACUGAUACAACGAAUAGUUGUUAUCCAGCCGACAGGCAAACUGAUAAAUUCCGCCUACCCAAAGUGAGAGCGCGAAUAAGCAGUCUCGUAGUUUCAACUAGCUUCGACUUCUUCUGAUUCCACUGCAUCGGAACAUAUACUGAUAAUGCUACUCGCAUGUGGAUGCAUCAGCAGCUGCUUGCUCUGACGGAACCGAAGGAGGAUUGCCAACCACCGUCAAUAUACCGGACGGCACCUUCCUAUGUGUCAGUGAACCCUGAAAGCGUCUUGGAAGUAGCAGAGCCAAACAAAUAAAUAUUCCAUUAUAGUAUCA